AGUCAUAAAUUUCAUCCACUUGUACAGUUAAAAAAUGAGUAUGGUUGACAGAAUAAUCAAACAGUAAAAUGCAGUAGGUCAUGUGUACCUCAUGCUAACGUAAAUAGGCUAAUUUUUAAUAGCAGAAGUGAAUAAAAUUUUUAAUA
rfam:Gossypium hirsutum cultivar TM-1 unplaced genomic scaffold scaffold804.1, whole genome shotgun sequence